rnacentral:rRNA from 1 species
CGGACGUUCGAUGUCGACUAUGCCAGGUUGUUCCCUUGAGGUAGUUAGCUUCCGCGAGCUAACGCGAUAAAUCGACCGCCUGGGGAGUACGGCCGCAAGGUUAAAACUCAAAUGAAUUGACGGGGGCCCGCACAAGCGGUGGAGCAUGUGGUUUAAUUCGAUGCAACGCGAAGAACCUUACCUACUCUUGACAUCCUGAGAAUUUUCCAGAGAUGCUUUGGUGCCUUCGGGAACUCUGACACAGGUGCUGCAUGGCUGUCGUCAGCUCGUGUUGUGAAAUGUUGGGUUAAGUCCCGCAACGAGCGCAACCCUUAUCCUUUGUUGCCAGCGAUUCGGGCGGGAACUCUAAGGAGACUGCCGGUGAUAAACCGGAGGAAGGUGGGGAUGACGUCAAGUCAUCAUGGCCCUUACGAGUAGGGCUACACACGUGCUACAAUGGCGGAUACAAAGAGAAGCGACCUCGCGAGAGGAAGCGGAACUCAUAAAACACAUCGUAGUCCGGAUUGGAGUCUGCAACUCGACUCCAUGAAGUCGGAAUCGCUAGUAAUCGUAAAUCAGAAUGCUACGGUGAAUACGUUCCCGGGCCUUGUACACACCGCCCGUCACACCAUGGGAGUGGGUUGCUCCAGAAGUAGGUAGCUUAACCUUCGGGAGGGCGCUUACCACUUUGUGAUCCAUGACUGGGGUGAAGUCGUAACAAGGGUAACCGGC